rnacentral:lncRNA from 1 species
UGUGUUAGACAGUUCACGAUUGUGUAUUAGUUAAGGUUACUCGAUUUUGGGAAUAGUGUGUAAAUUUUAAUGUAUAAACAAUCUAUGUUUAUAUCUUCCGCAAACAGUUGUAGAAUGAUUGAACCGGAUCCGCGGCGAUUCGGGACCCGGAUCUGGGGAUGCUACAGUACGAAUAUUCCCCGGCAGAAAGAAUAUUCUACGACCAAACAAAUAUUCCCCGACAACAAUGAAUAAU